ACAAAUCGACUUUGAGGACAAAAUGUUCACUUGUUGCCUAAUAUAUCCCACUCACUAACAGGGGACACGAUGAAGAGAUAAUCGAAUUUUAUACCAGGUCAAAGUAUAGAUAUAUAGAUGUGGUUUUCAGAGCAUGCCAAAACUUAUUAAUACAAAUAAUUUAAAACAGGGUAUUGUUUGUACAGACCUGGAUCUAGCUGUUUAUAUUCCCUAUGAAUGCAGCAACUGCAAGGCAUAUCAACUGAACAAUAUAUGCAACAUAUGAGGGAAUUAAAUUAUUUCCACACUGGGUAUUGCACUAUAGGUCCAACGGGGAAUUAUUUGAGAUCCGUAUCCCUGCUCCAUCAGCAUCAUAACAGAACAGAACAGAUUUUACAGUCUAUGCAGUCAACGAUAUGGCUAUUAGGAAGUCAUUCGUAAUGAACAGCUUCAGUAGCCUACAGAGUGCACAAUGUUUAAGGGAACUGUCUGGACUGUAAAUACUCCUUAUGAUCAGUCACAGCCUCUGUGGUACACAAUACGUCCAACAGAAAGCCAUUUGUUGUGACUAAGAUCCACACUCUAUACACAUACAUCAUCUUUAAUGUACACCAUAAUGGCUUUAGCAACAUAUACAGCACGGAAUAAGUCUAAAUAUCAAAAUGCAAAAGAACCUGUGUCUAAAAAUUUUUUCCAUGUAACCUUACUGAAUAUAACUGAAAACCUGUGGUGUGUUUCCAUUACUAAUACGUAAACCGGGUAAAGAAACAUCAGACUCACGGCGUCUUUAUUAACGAGCUGACGCUAAAAGAAUAUUUAAAUAAGAGUAUUACAGUCGAUUCUGACUGGCUGUCGUUCACGAGCCUGAUCAGUGUGAUAUCGCUCAGCAUUAGAAAACGAAACAGGUCCAGAGAUUGGAUCAAAAAAUAUAACAAAUAGAUCGUUGACUAAAGUCUAACAGUAAAGUAAAGCUUUUCAAAAGAAAACCAAAGCACACAAAGUAUCACAUGACCAUGAUGAUGAUGAGUCGCUGGGAAAAAUAACAUGUAUGACCCAAUACGUACAUUUUUUUUCCGUUUAUAUUAAUGCACCCGGUCAAAUCUGUUACAUUUUACAUGGCCUGGACAAUCUGAAGGGUAGAGGAACAAUGAUUUCCAGGAGUUAUAGCAUAAGCAGUAAGAGGAACUAACUUCUUACAAAGACGUUCCAAAUGUAACUAUACUGUACGACUUUUUAUUUAUUUAUUGGAGGGGAAAGUGCAGGGGUUUGGAAACAGUCAAAUUACAGGAAGAUUAAAUCACACCACAUGGUCGCUAUUUUCCUACAGCAGUACAAAAACAACCGCUUGUGUGCUGAACGCCCUGUAUAAUCUAACCCCAAUAAUAAACCAAUUAUUGUGCUACUGAACAAACAAAUGGUGUGUAAACAGGCACAUUGCUGUAGUAUACAGCGUCUAUAAAAAGUGUGGAAGCCUCUAGUUUAGUUUAGUUGUUAAGACACGCAUGUUCCUGGAAGUUCUCAGGAGUCCAAAAUGACAUUUUCACAUCCAACAGAAGAACUUCUGAAAACAGGAGAGAUGAGGUUAGCAGACUGCCUCACCCCCAGAGUCAAACAUGUAGGUGGAGGCUUAAUGGUUUUGGGUUGUGUUGGAGCAGGGAAGGUUAUUCCGAGUGAAAAGCACCAAAACGAAUCCCAUUCCGUAUUUCGACACCAUGCAUUUCCGCCUGGACUGCUGAUAACCGGAACAGACUUCACCAAACAACAAGGCGAUAAGCUGAAAAACCAAUCCAAGCUCUGUGAGCAUUAUUUAGAGAGCAAACAUUGGGCUGGAGUGUUAUCUAUCGCAGAAUGGUCUGUCCAGUCACCGCACCUACAUCCCAUUAAACUGCUCGGUGAUGAACUGGAUCACAAGCAUUUCACAGACCCAGGAUGCUAACGCUAGCAUAACCGCCCCUCAGACUCCACUCGGAUUUCUGCUACUUCUCCAAAAAAAUCUCGACGGCUUCAAAUAAACAUGGGCGUUUCUUCCCACUUUUGGUUUUCGAGACCCAGCAGAAUUUAGCCAGUUAGCUGAGCGCGAGCGCCAUCUCCAAACCAGCACGCUCAGACAGCGAGAGCGCUACGUAGGGCGCGCGCGAGUCGCUCUGUCACGGCGCACGAAAGAACACCUAGGUAGGAAGCAGGGCGGCGGAUUGGAAUACGGCCCUCAGCGCCGCUUCCACGCCGCUAAGGCACUUAG